rnacentral:rRNA from 1 species
GUAGGUGGCAAGCGUUGUCCGGAAUUAUUGGGCGUAAAGCGCGCGCAGGCGGUUUUUUAAGUCUGAUGUGAAAGCCCACGGCUCAACCGUGGAGGGUCAUUGGAAACUGGAGAACUUGAGUACAGAAGAGGAAAGCGGAAUUCCACGUGUAGCGGUGAAAUGCGUAGAGAUGUGGAGGAACACCAGUGGCGAGGGCGGCUUUCUGGUCUGUAACUGACGCUGAGGCGCGAAAGCGUGGGGAGCAAACAGGGAUUAGAUACCCUGGUAGUCCACGCCGUAAACGAUGAGUGCUAAGUGUUAGGGGGUUUCCGCCCCCUUAGUGCUGCAGCUAACGCAUUAAGCACUCCGCCUGGGGAGUACGGCCGCAAGGCUG